rnacentral:rRNA from 1 species
CCUUGCUGUAUAACUUGCCUCUAAGUGAUGGAUCUUGUCUGAUCUCAGAAGCUAAGCAGGGUUGGUCCUGAUUAAUACUCGGAUGAGAGACAGCUGGGAAUAUCAGGUGCCAGAAUGGG